UAGACUAUACUUUCUGGGAUUAUUUCUAUAGUUGGUUACUAGAAGAGUUUCUCUGAAUGUGUAGAGCACUGAAAACCACGAGGAAGAAGCACAGUGUUCUGGUGUUGCUUCACUGCAACUACCAUUUUCCAUUGAUGAUCAUUAUUCUCUUCCUUUCGUAGAGUAAGAGGGAGAAAAUGCAAUCUAAGUGGA
rnacentral:snoRNA from 1 species